GAUUCAUUCCAUAAAAU
rnacentral:sRNA from 1 species